UCUCUUGACUUAAGUGGUUAGAGAGUCCGCCUCAGAUGUGGAAGGUCGCGGGUUUGGAUCCCAGCCGAGUCAA